UGUGGUGCGAUGAUUAUAAAAAUUCCUUGUUCUGAAUGCCAUCGCCAUGGCAUGAUAGACUCCUUAACAGUUAACACCCAUAGAAUAUGAGCACCA